rnacentral:rRNA from 1 species
UGGCUUAGAAGCAGCCAUACAUUGAAAGAGUGCGUAAUAGCUCACUGGUCGAGUGGUCCUGCGCCGAAGAUGUCCGGGGCUAAAAUCUGUUACCGAAGUUGUGGGAUGACGUAAAUUUCUUUAUGAGUUCAAGGCGAUAAGUAGGGAAAUCAAAUUUCGAAAUCCAACAAAAAAAUAAAAAGAAGGAUUUCGAACAGAUGAAAACUAAAACUGUAACCGUUUUGAGAGUGUAAAGAAAUUUAUGUCAUCGGUAGAGGAGCAUUCUGUAUAGGUAGAAGCACUACCGAAAGGAGUUGUGGACUGUACAGAAGAGAGAAUGUUGGCAUGAGUAGCGAAAGGUGAGUGAGAAUCUCACCCAUCGAAAGCCUAAGGCUUCCUGAGGAAGGCUCGUCCACUCAGGGUAAGUCGGGACCUAAGCUGAGGCCGAAAGGCGUAGGCGAUGGACAACUGGUUGAAAUUCCAGUACCACCUUCAAGCGAUUGAGAGAAGUGGUGACACAGGAGGGUAAGCUGAGCGCACAGAUGGAAAAGUGCGUCUAAGUAAGUAGGAAGGCACUGCAGGGAAAUCCGCAGAGUCAAUUCUGAGAUACGAAUGGGAGCGAAAAUAAAGUAGUGAAGCAGCUGAUCCCACACUGUCAAGAAAAGCCACUAUCGAGCAAGAAGGUGCCCGUACCGUAAACCGACACAGGUAGGCAAGGAGAGAAUCCAAAGAUGAGCGGAAGAACUAUUGUUAAGGAACUAGGCAAAAUGACCCCGUAACUUCGGGAGAAGGGGUGCCGUAUGGUGUGAAGUUUGAACAAACGGAGCACAAUGCGGCCACAGAAAACAGGCCCAAGCGACUGUUUACCAAAAACACAGGUCUCUGCUAAAUCGAAAGAUGAAGUAUAGGGGCUGACACCUGCCCGGUGCUGGAAGGUUAAGGGGAGAAGUCAUCGAAAGAGAAGCUUUGAACUUAAGCCCCAGUAAACGGCGGCCGUAACUAUAACGGUCCUAAGGUAGCGAAAUUCCUUGUCGGGUAAGUUCCGACCCGCACGAAAGGUGUAACGAUUUGGGCACUGUCUCAACAAUAGAUCCGGUGAAAUUGUAGUACUCGUGAAGAUGCGAGUUACCCGCGGCAGGACGGAAAGACCCCAUGGAGCUUUACUGCAGGCUGACAUUGGAAUUCGGUAGCAAUUGUACAGAAUAGGUGGGAGACAAAGAAGCAUGUACGCCAGUAUGUGUGGAGUCGCCAUUGGGAUACCACUCUAUUGUUACUGAAUUUCUAACAUGGUACCGUGAACCGGUAUAUGGACACUGUCAGUUGGGCAGUUUGACUGGGGCGGUCGCCUCCGAAAGAGUAACGGAGGCGCUCAAAGGUUCCCUCAGCACGGUCGGAAAUCGUGCGAAGAGUGUAAAGGCAGAAGGGAGCUUGACUGCGAGAGAGACAUCUCGAGCAGGAACGAAAGUUGGACUUAGUGAUCCGGUGGCACCGAGUGGAAAGGCCAUCGCUUAACGGAUAAAAGCUACCCUGGGGAUAACAGGCUUAUCUCCCCCAAGAGUCCACAUCGACGGGGAGGUUUGGCACCUCGAUGUCGGCUCGUCUCAUCCUGGGGCUGAAGUAGGUCCCAAGGGUUGGGCUGUUCGCCCAUUAAAGAGGCACGCGAGCUGGGUUCAGAACGUCGUGAGACAGUUCGGUCCCUAUCCGCCGUGGGCGCAGGAAAUUUGAAGGGAGCUGUUCCUAGUACGAGAGGACCGGAAUGGACAGACCGCCGGUGAAUCAGUUGUCACGCCAGUGGCAUGGCUGAGUAGCUGAGUCUGGAAAAGAUAAGCGCUGAAAGCAUCUAAGCGCGAAACUAACCCUAAGAUAAGAUUUCCCAUUGCUUUAAGCAAGUAAGGCCCCUGAUAUGUUAUCAGGUUGAUAGGUUGCAUGUGUAAGUGCAGCAAUGCAUUCAGCUGAGCAAUACUAAUUGGCCGAGGUCUUGACCAA